rnacentral:tRNA from 1 species
UAGGCAGAAGCCUGUUGGUUUGGGCAUGCGGCUGUUAACCGUAGACUUCAUGGGAUCAAAGCCCAUCUGUCUAG